AUGCAUGGGCGCAGCCUGAUGCAGCGACGCCGCGUGAGGGAUGACGGCCUUCGGGUUGUAAACCUCUUUCAGUAGGGAAGAAGCGAAAGUGACGGUACCUGCAGAAGAAGCGCCGGCUAACUACGUGCCAGCAGCCGCGGUAAUACGUAGGGCGCAAGCGUUAUCCGGAAUUAUUGGGCGUAAAGAGCUCGUAGGCGGUUUGUCGCGUCUGCCGUGAAAGUCCGGGGCUCAACUCCGGAUCUGCGGUGGGUACGGGCAGACUAGAGUGAUGUAGGGGAGACUGGAAUUCCUGGUGUAGCGGUGAAAUGCGCAAAUAUCAGGAGGAACACCGAUGGCGAAGGCAGGUCUCUGGGCAUUAACUGACGCUGAGGAGCGAAAGCAUGGGGAGCGAACAGGAUUAGAUACCCUGGUAGUCCAUGCCGUAAACGUUGGGCACUAGGUGUGGGGGACAUUCCACGUUUUCCGCGCCGUAGCUAACGCAUUAAGUGCCCCGCCUGGGGAGUACGGCCGCAAGGCUAAAACUCAAAUGAAUUUGACGGA
rnacentral:rRNA from 1 species